rnacentral:rRNA from 1 species
AUACGGAGGAUGCGAGCGUUAUCCGGAUUUAUUGGGUUUAAAGGGUGCGUAGGCGGUCGGGUAAGCGUAGGGUGAAAGUCCUCUGCUCAACAGAGGAAGUGCCUUCCGAACUGUCCGACUGGAAUGCUCCUGCCGUGGGAGGAAUGUGUGGUGUAGCGGUGAAAUGCAUAGAGAUCACACAGAACACCGAUUGCGAAGGCAUCUCACGAAGGGGCUAUUGACGCUGAGGCACGAAAGCGUGGGGAUCAAACAGGAUUAGAUACCCUGGUAGUCCACGCAGUAAACGAUGAUGACUAACCGUCGGUCAAGACUGAUCGGUGGCCAAGCGAAAGCGAUAAGUCAUCCACCUGGGGAGUACGACCGCAAGGUUGAAACUCAAAGGAAUUGACGGG